rnacentral:rRNA from 1 species
GAAUAUUGGACAAUGGGGGGAACCCUGAUCCAGCCAUGCCGCGUGUGUGAAGAAGGCCUUUUGGUUGUAAGGCACAUUAAGCGAGGAGGAGGCUACUCAAGUUAAUACCUAGAGCUAGUGGACGUUACUCGCACAACAAGCACCGGCUAACGCCGUGCCCGCAGCCGCGGUAAUACAGAGGGUGCAAGCGUUAAUCGGAUUUACUGGGCGUAAAGCGCGCGUAGGUGGCCAAUUAAGUCAAAUGUGAAAUCCCCGAGCUUAACUUGGGACUUGCAUUCGAUACCGGUUGGCUAGAGUAUGGGAGAGGAUGGUAGAAUUCCAGGUGUAGCGGUGAAAUGCGUAGAGAUCUGGAGGAAUACCGAUGGCGAAGGCAGCCAUCUGGCCUAAUACUGACACUGAGGUGCGAAAGCAUGGGGAGCAAAC